GCUCCAGACCCCAUGCUGCAUCCCCAGCAAGUGUCCGGUCUGUCUGGGAGAUCUCUUGCAGAAAAGCUCAUUUUGGGGUUUCUUUGUUCUGCCCAUUUCUCCCCAUCAGGGAAGUUUUGACUGAGUUUAUCAGGGUCUGAGUUUAUCAGUGAUGUCUUGGAACUCUGACUGAGAUCCCUUCUUUGUUGAACCAUCCUUCAGUCCAGCUUACCAGUCUGUGGAGACCAUAACCGUGUCAAGCAUGGUGUAAUGCAUGGUUGGAGGGCAUCAUCUAGAGCACACCAGACCAAGCAUACAC